rnacentral:rRNA from 1 species
AGCGUAGACGGCGCAGCAAGUCUGAUGUGAAAGGCAGGGGCUUAACCCCUGGACUGCAUUGGAAACUGCUGUGCUUGAGUGCCGGAGGGGUAAGCGGAAUUCCUAGUGUAGCGGUGAAAUGCGUAGAUAUUAGGAGGAACACCAGUGGCGAAGGCGGCCUACUGGGCACCAACUGACGCUGAGGCUCGAAAGUGUGGUAGCGAACA